rnacentral:rRNA from 1 species
GGUUUAAAGGGUUCGUAGGCGGGCUAAUCAGGCAGAGGUGAAAUCCAGAGCUAAACUGUUGAACUGCCUUUGAUACUGUUAGUCUUGAGUCAUAUGGAAGUGGAUAGAAUAUGUAGUGUAGCGGUGAAAUGCAUAGAUAUUACAUAGAAUACCGAUUGCGAAGGCAGUCCACUACGUAUUGACUGACGCUGAGGAACGAAAGCGUGGGGAGCGAACGGGAUUAGAUACCCCGGUAGUCCACGCCGUAAACGAUGGACACUAGUUGUUGGGUGUAAGCUCAGUGACUAAGCGAAAGUGAUAAGUGUCCCACCUGGGGAGUACGGUCGCAAGAUUGAAACUCAAAGGAAUUGACGGGGGCCCGCACAAGCGGUGGAGCAUGUGGUUUAAUUCGAUGAUACGCGAGGAACCUUACCAGGGCUUAAAUGUAGGAUGCAUUAGUUAGAGAUAGCUAUUUCUUCGGACUUCUUACAAGGUGCUGCAUGGUUGUCGUCAGCUCGUGCCGUGAGGUGUCAGGUUAAGUCCUAUAACGAGCGCAACCCCUAUCUUUAGUUGCUAACAGGUUAAGCUGAGGACUCUAGAGAGACUGCCGGUGCAAACCGUGAGGAAGGUGGGGAUGACGUCAAAUCAUCACGGCCCUUACGUCCUGGGCUACACACGUGCUACAAUGGUAAUGACAGAGGGCAGCUACUAGGCGACUAGAUGCAAAUCUUUAAACAUUAUCACAGUUCGGAUUGGAGUCUGCAACUCGACUCCAUGAAGCUGGAAUCGCUAGUAAUCGGAUAUCAGCCAUGAUCCGGUGAAUACGUUCCCGGGCCUUGUACACACCGCCCGUCAAGCCAUGGAAGCUGGGGGUGCCUGAAGUCGGUCACCGCAAGGAGCCGCCUAGGGUAAAACUGGUAACUAGGGCUAAGUCGUA